UUUCCUUGAUUCAGUGGACAAACAAUUGCUCACCUUGAAGAACUCAAAUUGUCAAAAAUCCAACCUCCUCAAGUCUGAAUCUUUCAAAUUUACUCUGAAAAGGUUAUUUUCUUUUCCUUGAAUACUGUAAACCGUCAGUUUUUUUCCACUAGAUUUUGAAUUUUUUUUCAAAGCUUCUCAAAGAAGCUAGUUUGUGACCCCUAAUUUGGCCUAUAAAAGGGGGGUUUUCCACCCCUUUAACAAGGGAGUAGAGAAACUAGGCAAUUCUCUGUUUUCUUUACUCUACAUUUCCUUGUUUUAUUUUUACUCAAACCGCUCUCGUCGUUACCUUCUGUCGUUCAAACUCGGUGAAAAGUUAGUGGUGGAACUACUGGUCGGCUUGGCUUCCUGGUUCGCUGCCCCAAAAAAGGCGAGAACUUUCUCCCUAAUCUCCUUCGUAUGACUGAAAAUUAUGUUGUAAAAAUAGGUUGUGUUUAUUGCCGUUUUAUCGAUGAAUUGAUUGUGCUGUUCGGAAGUAGCAUCCAAAGACUUGUAUUAGGAUUAUUUCAUAUGAUUUCACCCUCUUAUUCUUAGGAAAUCCACAGAGAAUAUCCCGACUGAUUUUUGUCGUCAUAUCCCACAUAAUUGGACCUCCUGUUUAUUCUCGAAAUAGUUUAAUGUGGUUUUUCAUUCUAUUUGAGAUAACACCCUAAAGCAACCCCUGUAACUGAAAAUUUUACAAAUUUUCCUCACCCGCGUGAUGCAUCCCGCUAGACAUAGCUCAAGCUAAUUUGUAUCUUAGUUUACUCAAUUAUCCUAGUGACUUGCUUCAUGUUGAUUAUUCCGUAGUGUGAUGUUUAUAGUCCCACUUGUCCGAAGUUUUCCGUAUGUUGAAAAAUUUAGCUUUAAGAGAGAUCGUGACCUUGAAAAUGCACUAAUUACCUGUUUUUAUGUUUUAAUCUUUUUUUUUUAACCAUUGGAUGCCUCAAAUAUUAUUUACUAAAACAGUAAGAUGCAACAGCUCUUCAGAAUUUAACUCAAUCGUUUAUGACAUCCGUGCUUGACCUCUUUUCAUAAAGUUUGAAUCAAUGAAGCUCUGAAAAUAUGUUUCUUCAUAAACUUAACCAAGAAAUCCUUUCUGUAAGUUAGAUUUGUCAAAGUUGAGCCUCUUUCUUCUUGAAACGGUUGUUUGAGCAUGAGUAUGACAUUUUAUCUGUUGCUACCCGGAUUUUAAGUAGAUAUGAUCCCGAUCUUCUCUUGAUGUAUGUUAUUGUUCACCAUUACCUGUAACUAGGCCAAAAACACCUGUGUAUUUCUUUUUAAUGAUAGGUUGUUAGGAAUUAGGACCAACAAAGAUUUAUCCUAGGUUGUUAGGAAUUAGGACCAACAAAGAUUUAUCCCACUUUAGACAUAUUCAGGGGUGUGGUAAAUAAAUAAAUGUUUAAGAUAUUUUAUUAAGCUGUUAUAUUCUUUUCAACCCUUUUCCUUACUUGAUAAGUUUCACCCUUAUGUGCUUUCUAUGAGCUACUUAAUGAAUGCAUUCAUUUGUUUGUGAUAUGUACUACUUGCAAUUUAAGUACCAAAAUUAUGUUUUAUGUUUUCUGUGAAUAAAUUGUUCUCUAAUUGAAUGUUGUUCAAAUGUAAAUAGAAAUAUUUAUGAUCAAUAUAUCUCUAAGUGGUUGUUGGUGUUUUUUCCAAGAUUAUAUAUUUCUACGCACUGCUUACAAUGAGAGGCAAUAUACCUUAGGGUUGAUAAGAGGAUGCGAAGGUCUGAUAUUAGGAGAGAAGGUGUGGAUAUCCAAACAGUUGUACUAGUGUUUUCUUGAUUGGCUAUAAUUUUAAAUUAGUAGCACCUAUGUUUACACUGUUGCUAAAACAUUUUAGUAGUAAAAUUGUUUUAUCCUCCAAAACCCUUGCCCCAUGAAAAUAUAUUUGCAUAUAUUUGAUUUAUGUGGGAAUAUUUAAAUUGUUCGUACGUAGCAUUUUCGUUUAUCGUGUCUAAUCAUGUUCUUUCUUCAUCGAAACUCACGUACUAAUCUUUUCUAUCCCUUUUAUGCAUGAACCUCCUCAUUGAGUUCAUUGGACUCCCAUCUAUCGCAUUCCGUUGGGUUAAAUCCAACCCCCAUCGAGUCAAGCUUCAUUAAAGUCCAACAAUGUACUUAUAUCGCAAGACAACACUGGUAUACAAUUGUAUACAGAUGAUAUACAUUAGGAGGCAGCAGCUGCACAUUAUACCGUGGUUCAUGAUGAAAAAUGGAGUCGAAAUACGCAGCUUACCGCACUGAUAUACACCGUAUAUGCAGCGGUAUACUCAAAAACGCAGAAAAUAAGCUGCUGAUAUACAGCAGAUGUACAAGGGCAAAAAGGGGGCUAAAGUCCAUGGAAUUGGUCCAAAAUUGGACAGAUUUUUUAAUGGGCAAAAAGGGGCCCCAAUUCUCACUCUGCUCUCUUUAAUUAUCCACUAGUAUACAUACACGCGCGAUGCGCGGAUAAAAAUAUUAUUUCUUAUCUUUUUGGAUUGUGAUGUUUGAGCAUGUUAAAUCAUCUUACCUUAAACAGAAUUUAAUUAUCAUAUUAUUCCUUAAUAAAAUGAAUCCCAACUCCAAAUCAUCCCUCUUCCCCCUCCCCCACC
rnacentral:lncRNA from 1 species